rnacentral:rRNA from 1 species
GAGUUUGAUCAUGGCUCAGAUUGAACGCUGGCGGCAUGCCUUACACAUGCAAGUCGAACGGCAGCACGGGAGCUUGCUCCUGGGUGGCGAGUGGCGAACGGGUGAGUAAUGCAUCGGAACGUAUCCUGGAGUGGGGGAUAACGUAGCGAAAGUUACGCUAAUACCGCAUAUUCUGUGAGCAGGAAAGCGGGGGACCUUCGGGCCUCGCGCUCUUGGAGCGGCCGAUGUCGGAUUAGCUAGUUGGUGAGGUAAAGGCUCACCAAGGCGACGAUCCGUAGCAGGUCUGAGAGGAUGAUCUGCCACACUGGAACUGAGACACGGUCCAGACUCCUACGGGAGGCAGCAGUGGGGAAUUUUGGACAAUGGGGGCAACCCUGAUCCAGCCAUGCCGCGUGAGUGAAGAAGGCCUCGGUUGUAA